rnacentral:hammerhead_ribozyme from 1 species
AUCCAGCUGAUGAGUCCCAAAUAGGACGAAGUGACACGCAUCAAACUGGAU